UACGUAGGUCGCAAGCGUUGUCCGGAUUUACUGGGCGUAAAGAGCGCGCAGGCGGCUGGUCAAGUCCGAUGUGAAAUCUCCCGGCUCAACUGGGAAACUGCAUCGGAAACUGAUUGGCUUGAAGGUGGGAGAGGGUAGUGGAAUUCCCGGUGUAGUGGUGAAAUGCGUAGAUAUCUGGAGGAACACCGGUGGCGAAGGCGGCAUCCUGGACCGGUAUUGACGCUGAUGCGCGAAAGCCAGGGGAGCAAACGGGG
rnacentral:rRNA from 1 species